GGGGCUGCGGGCAGCUGGGACCAACCACAGUUUGGCCCAGUCCUUUCCAGGCCGGCAGCACCAGGCCCUACCCGAGGCCCCACGAGGACAAGGAGACCCUGGUGUCCUGGCCCGGCACCCCCUGCCCGGCGCCCCCCAGACCCACCCUGCCGGUCCCUCUCCACCUCCCAUCCCGGGCUGGGGGCGCCAGGCUGGGUAGCGGCGGCCAGAGGCGGCGCCGACUGGUUCAGAUUUCAGAUUUGGCCUAGACCUGGCCUGGGGGCUCAGGCCCGGCUCGCUGCUCUCAGGGGGCCCGCAGAGGGAGGAUGAAGAAACUGAGGCACAGAGAAGGGACUCACCUGAAGAGAACCAGGUCUUGGACCUUGGCCUUGACCUGAAUUUCCCAAACUGGGGACUGAGACGGGAAGGACAAUGUGGAGCAGAUCAGGUUCAUCUCUUCCCAACUCCACAUUCAGUGAUAUCAUGCUGGUAGCUUGACGUCAGCAGAAGUGGAAGUUUUAACACCGCAGAAACCAGCAGACACGACAAAUCAAGGCUUUUUUUUUUUUUUUUUUUUAAUUCCAGAGAGCUAGUUGUUAAAUAUUUACCAGCCCAUCACUAGAUUCAUCCCCAGGAGUUCAGUCGAAAGUUCUGGGCUUCUUCUAAAGCUUGGAUGACGAGUGCUUAAAAGCAUAGACUUCGGACCCACAGACCUCGGUUCAAGUCCCGUCUCUGCCACUUCAUGGUUAUGUCUCCUUAAGGGGAGCAGAGUUUCUCUGAGCCUCACUGUGCCAGCCUGCAAAAGGAGCUAAAGAGAGUGCUCCCCUCAGAAGACUCACGCGAACGUGAAAUGAAGCGAUGUCCCCUCAGUGUGUCUCAGCCCUUUUCACACCCUACCGCUGUCUUGGAGGAGAGGGGGCAGCUGGGACCCCUCUUGGCUCUCUGAGCGCAUAUGAGGCCUUCCACCUGGAGCCACCAGUGGCUCGGCUCAGCCGCUGAGGUUCUCAGGAGGUCUUUUGGGAGGAUGUGGCCAGCACGGUGGUUUCAUGAUUGAGCGUUGGAAGAGUUCGUUAUUUUCAACCACCCCUCUGGGUCUUCACUCAGGCUGUAACCCCCACCAGGAAUGCUCGCCCCACCUCUCUAGCUUCCCGAACGUCCCAGUCCAUCAUGGUCCUAAGUAAGUGUGGCCUCCUCCAGGAUAAGUUUCCUGACAAUCUUCUGCUGGAGGCACACCCUGAGCCAUUUGGGAGUGUCUGUCCCCACCCAGAGGGCAGGGACUCUGGCCUAUUCCCUGACACAGAGUAGGCACUGCCAAGCGACACUCUCUGGCCAAGAGAGCACUGGGAUUAGGGAUAUACAUACAAGAGUUCUAACUCUUCCAUUCAUUGACUAUGUGAGCCUGCCCUCUCUGAGCCUCAAUUUACUCAUCAAUAAAUUGGGAGCAAUAACCUUACCAGGAUUAUGCAGGUACAAGAGUUGCUUGCUGGUCUAGCCUGGGGAACUGGUGAGUGACUCUUUGUAUAUUAUUUUGCUUAAAAGAUUGUUAGUAAAACAGCAGCUCAUUGCUUCA